ACAUACUUUUCAACGAAUCUAGUAGACCCUUUUACUCUUUUCGGAACAAAACGCACUCCGAUAUGCUAAGGGGAUAGGAGGGCAGAGCAGAGUCUCCGAAGCAAAGUACCAAGUCAACAACGGCGCCGCAGUCGGCGUCACCGCCACCAGCAAUGUUUCCUCUUAUAAGGAGGUAACCAUCACGGACUCCAGUAGUCCACGCCAGCAAGGACAUCCUCAAGAACACCAAACAAGGACUUCAGUAUUCAACGGUAGCAAGGACUUCCUCAAGGAUAUUAAUCAAGGUCUGCAGUAGUCAGCCCCAGACAGGAUAUCGUCAGGAUAAUUGUCAAGAAUAGCAACAACGGGUAUCUAGGCUACCCUCUCGCAAGACUCCAGCAAGGCUCCAUCCCUAGUAUCACACUGUGAUCGCGAGGCAAGCCGCCCUUGCGAAUUAGUUAGAUUGGUUAACCACCGAACGCGAGUGCAACAAAAGCCGAUCCCGGCCAAUCUAAUCGUGAUUUUUGCAGUGUAAGUGAAAACUAACGUGGUAUAACGUGGAUAACGUACUGCACGAGCUUGAAGCCAACCUUCUCGAGCGCCCACAGACAGUAAUAACCGCGAUCUAGCAGGAUCAUAACCGUAUCCGCGCUCAAAUCUCCAAAAAUGCAACGACAUCCAACUUCCGGGCACCUGGGCGUGCAUAAAAUUUGCAUAAAAACUUAUGUGUUAUGUUGGCGAUUUCUUCUUGUAUGUUGGUUUUCAAAUUAUGUAGGGUUCUUGGAAGCGACUGAACCUUGUCGGGACAAAACUUUGCAGUAGUCCCUCUUGAACGGGACCACUCCGCUAUGACAUCUACUAACUGA